GAGGCUGUAGCUUAAUCUUAGAGCUUUGAGCUUUUAACUCAAUGGUGGGGGUUUACCCUCGGCCUUA
rnacentral:tRNA from 1 species